rnacentral:sRNA from 1 species
UCUCCCAUCCAAGUACUAACCAGGCCCGACCCUGCUUAGCUUCCGAGAUCAAACAAGAUCAGGCGCGUUCAGGG